rnacentral:lncRNA from 1 species
CGUCAGUUAAGACACAUGUGAUGUGUGUGUGCUGGGGUAUUAUUACCCUUUCGCCUCAAGCGCUUAAUCAAAAAACCAUUUUCGAGAGCAACUUUUCCCCAAAAAAGUGUUAGGGUUCUGGAAUUUGGGGAAAAGGUUGGUCGAUUUCGAGGUAUAGGGUUCGAUAUUAUCCAAUUGAUGAAGAUUUAAUAGGCGAAGUCACGAUUUGAAAGGGAAUCAUCAAUUCAUGUAGGAAUUCAUCCAUUUUGGGGUAAUUUCUUGUCUGAUAUGGUUAUAUGUCAAUUUCAGUUUCUAAAUUUGCUUAUUUCUUGUAUUUUUUAUUUUUUUUAUUUCAAUUCUUACAAUUAGGUUUCUUUCUUGUAGUUUGCAGAUGUCUACUUCAUCUUCUCAUGGAUUGAGGUGCCUUUUAUGUGGGGUUGAAAUGAAAUUACUUCUAUCAACUACAGAACAACAUUACAACAAAUAUUUUUGGAAGUGUACAAGGAAAUAUGUAAGGCAUGGUUUUGAAUCAAUUUUAUUUUAUUAUAUGGAUGUUGUGGUUAUGUAAAGUGGUUGUAUGAUGUAGGGAGGUGUUGGAUGCAAAGGUUUCGUAUUGUGUAAUGAUGUUGACAACACCAAAUGGAGGGAAAAUAUCAUCUUUAAAGACUCACAACGGAUGGAAAACAAUGGUAGCAAGGGUGUGGUGUUUCAAUCUAUGUAGCUACAAGUUGGAGAUGUUUUGAAUAUGCUGAAAGGAAUAAAAGAGAUGUUGAUCAUUUGUAUCUUGAUUGUUGUCAAUGUUGUUUUCAAUUUAGUUAUAUAAAAAAAUGAGGUGCUUAGAUGGUGCUUCAAUUUGGGUAAAGACAUGUUUUGGUUGUAACAUUCUGCUCAAAUGUUUUGGUUGUAACAUUGUGAUCAAAAUUUGUGGAAAGACAUGUCUCAGAGGUUGUAAAUUUCUAGUCAUG